UGUUUCGAAUAACAGAACUUAAACACGUAUACACCGGCAUAAAAGACUGAAGCACAAGCAAUCCACCUCUUUUCGCGGUUAUCGUGGUUAGAGAAAGACAUACGUACUUUUCAAAGUGAAUUUAACAGAUUACAAUGAAGUACCAAAGCGACGAUAUGGUAGCAAAUAACGCUAGAGAGAUAAGAUUGAGGAGGAGUGGGUAUAUCCUAAGGUCAAUGAGAUCAGUAAAUCGGAGGAUGCGGGAACUAACAAACAUGUUCCCCGAAGCGGCAACAACAUCCGAUGAUACAGACAUUGGGGAGGAGCACAGCAGGGAGGAGAUGAAUGCGAGCGGAGGAGGAGGAGGAGACGAAUGCGAGCGGCAACCUUCAUCGGAACAGCCCUGAGGAUGGAGGUGGAGGAGCGGUCACAACAAGCGCAAUCACCGGAAUCAACGCCACCCCCCACAUCACCAGAAGCAACGCCGCCCCAUUAAACGAAAGUCAUUAAUCAUAUUUGCUAAGUAAUAACUCAAUAUAACACUUGUCUUCAAAUUUAUGUGAUAUAUCUUCCAAUGUUUCCCAAUCAAAAAUUUGUUUGUUAAUUGUCUUUUUCUCAGAUGUUAUUACUGUGUGUGUUGGUGGGUUCACCUUCCUAAAUACCCUGUCAUUCUCGAGCAUUGCCAAGUCUAAUAAUGGAACACUGUUUUUACUGAAUAUAAGAUCAGAACACACAGCAAUGACACUUUUAUUUAUACUUAUUUCUUUCUUUGGAAAUAAAAUGCAUCCAAUCAUACUACAUUUUGCAACAUUUGUUAUAGAGUUUGGUAAAUUCAAACUUCUUCUAUUUAACGUUAAACAAAUUUCAUUACUCAUAUUACUGGUCUUAUCUUCACAGUAAUCGGGGUCUCUCCAAUAUAUUGCUUUGGUGAAUAGAAUGAUGGUAGUUUUAUAGGGCUGUCUUCAUCAUCCGUUAACUUGAUUGAGAUAUGUUGAAAUUGAAGGUUUUCUAUUGGUGUAAAUAUGAUGCUCUUCGGUUCAUAAUAUUUCACAUAUGUGUCAACUUGUGUAUCAUAAAAUGCAAACUUUCGCAGAACUCUAUUCUUAUCAAGACCUGCUAGGUAGUUAUUUUCCAAAAUGUCACAUUCCACAUUGAUAGCUGAUUCUGGAAUAAUGUUUAUGCCAUCCUUUAUUCUUCGAGCACAAUUAAUUUUAGUAUAUUGCACCGAUUGAUUGUUUGUUUCCUCUUUAUAUAGAUACAAUGUCAUGAUUUGACUGGGAAAAAAGUUAUCGUGUAAUUGGUAUUUAGGAACUUUAAUCACACCAAGAUUAAGCUUCUUUUCAGGGGUUGGUGAAUGUUCGCAUUCGCUGUUGAAAUUCGGAAGACACACCAGGAAUUGAGUGACAAUUCUCUAAUUAAAGACACUCUAAUAAACACCUUGAAGACUGACAGAGUGCAGACAUCGAUAGAAAAUAAUAGUGGCUUCGAGAGACUGUGUAAAUUUAUUGUGGAUGGGAGAACCCCUCAUGACCGAGAAGAAAUCAGACACUUGUGCAAACUCUUUCUGCUAAUCUCCAUCAGUAGUUCAAUUGUUGUCACAAUAUUUAGCCAUGUUGGUUUUAUUUUACUUAAAAGAUUUAUGAAGUAAAAAAAAAUCUGUCUCAGAAAUGUUACUGUCUUUUUAUGUGAAACCUCUAUAACUACUGCGCAUGCGCAAAACACCUAAAAUCUCAAAAACUUUUUUAAUCUCAAAAAACGACUCCUCAUCCUACACGACAUCCCCCCACACAGUGAACUCCUACGCAUUCACCUCCUCCUGCAAAUCACCCUGCUUCGCAGUGCCAGCUGAGUUGAUAUCCUCGUAUACUUACCUACUUAUAUAACCAUGUUAAAAAUUGAUACACAGAAUCCUAACGAUUCCUUGUGCUUAUAGAGAGACGGCAACCCCUUCUAUCCAAGAGCCGAUGGCAAAUGAUGCCACCUAGGAGUUGAACCCAGCCAUCAUAUAUAACCAUGUUAAAAAUUUAUAAACAGAAUCCUACCGAUUCCUUGUGCUUAUAGAGAGACGGAAACCCCUUCUAUCCAAGUGGCCAUGGCAAAUGAUGCCACCUAGGAAGUUGUACCUAGCAACAACAAAUAACCAUGUUGAAAAUUUAUACCUAGAAUCCUACCGAUUCUUUGUGUUUAUAGAGAGACGGAAACCCAUGGCAAAUGAUGCCACCUAGGAAGUUGUACCCAGCCACCAUAUAUAACCAUGUUUAAAGUUAUACACAUAAUCCUACCUAUUUCUUGUUCUUAGAGAGAGACGGCAAUCACAUCAUCGGGGAUUGCUUGCCAUAUUGACAGGACUGGUUCUAGCAGCCCUGCUGAACCGAACUUCCAUCCAUGAGAUAAAGGAGAUGAAGGAGGCUUUUCUUUGUGAAAGUGUCUCCAAAUGUAAGAUUGAUAAUUUGCUCUUCGUCAAUGUUGUGCCAGUGAAUCCUCAGCAGGUGAAAGCCUCUCUGUAUUCUUCCUCUUCAUUAAACGCCAUUUUGAGGAUCUUGCUGCUGCAAGGGAUUGGCUAGAAAGAUCGCGAUAGACACAUUUUAUGGUGAAUGGUGAAAGCUCUGGACAUAGCUCAACCUGUAGUCCAAAAUCACAAAUUAAACUGGCAAACUCUGGAGUUCUUUUCACUUUCUCAAACACUGAGACUUUUCCGUGACCAAAGAAGCCAAUGAUUGCAUCUGCACCUGUGAAGGCAUCUAUUUGCACAAGGACUGAAGCUGGCCCUGAGGAGCAUAUUUUUUGACAAUCAAACAGAUGGCCUUUCUGACAUAAGAGCAUUUGGCCAA